CCCGCCUGUAAAUGGCGUCUGGGGGCCCGGAACGUGGGAAAGAAAGUGGGCAACCCCCACUCCGAAACUGGCCUCGGCGUCCGGGCUGCGGCCCCUAAGGAAAGCUGGCCCGAAGAAGGAAGAGGAGGAGAAGGAGUUUUAUCCUUAAGGCCUGGGAGAUGCAGAAUAGUCCAAGAGAGAACCAUGUUUAAAACCCUCGAAGGCUGCGUUGGAGGAGGGAAUCCGCUCCAGAGACGGAGUCUCGCCCUGUUGCCCAGGCUGGAGUGCAGUGGCACGAUCUCGGAUCA